AGGACGAACGCUGGCGGCGUGCUUAACACAUGCAAGUCGAGCGGAAAGGCCCUUCGGGGUACUCGAGCGGCGAACGGGUGAGUAACACGUGAGCAACCUGCCCUUAGCUUCGGGAUAGCUCCGGGAAACCGGAAUUAAUACCGAAUAUGACUUUGGCUGACAUCAGCAGAAGUGGAAAGUUUUUCGGCUAGGGAUGGACUCGCGGCCUAUCAGCUAGUUGGUGAGGUAACGGCCCACCAAGGCGACGACGGGUAGCCGGCCUGAGAGGGCGGCCGGCCACACUGGGACUGAGACACGGCCCAGACUCCUACGGGAGGCAGCAGUGGGGAAUAUUGCGCAAUGGGCGAAAGCCUGACGCAGCGACGCCGCGUGGGGGAUGAAUGCCUUCGGGUUGUAAACCCCUUUCAGCAGGGACGAAGCGAAAGUGACGGUACCUGCAGAAGAAGCGCCGGCUAACUACGUGCCAGCAGCCGC
rnacentral:rRNA from 1 species